CGUUGUCUGCAGUGCGUGCCGGGCUUUAUAUUUCCUUGAUCCAAUGCUCUUAGAGCCCGGGCUUGGUACAUUGCGUGGCUGGCGUGAGCGUCUCGCGUCAGACGAUCCCGAAGCCACGCUGCCCUUGCCCACCUGAACCCAGGUUCAGGAUGCCGGUCCGGCUGCACUUGCAGACACCUU
rnacentral:other from 1 species